rnacentral:lncRNA from 1 species
GCUCCGAAACCGCACCAGCAAAAUUAAGCAGCGAUCUUUGGGGGCGAAUUCAAAGGAUCAUUCGAUGUUUUCUGCCAACAAAUUCUGAACGAAACCUCCUCCCCUUACUUCCUAGUUAGUGCAGAAACUGAGAGUUACUUAAAAGAACCAGAGAUCAAAGAGAAAUCUGAUCCGGAACAUGGCUCAUAGCCGGCCUUUGGUCAGAAAAAUUGCAGCUUUAUCACUUCUGUUCCAAUUUUGUUCGUAGCCUUCUUCUCCUCCGUCCAUUGCUCAUUUCCUCCUUGCUUAUCACGGUUCCUUCCCCAAGCUCUUCCUCUCUCUGCUUUCCUUCUUCCUUCUUCCAGAACCCACGCCGUCAAUCUCUUUCUUUCUACAUCUAUUUGCUUCAGCCGCCACCUUGCCCUUUCUUUUCUUUUUCCUCUCAAAGCUCCUCCUCUCCGUUUUUCUGGUUUCUUUCCUUAGCCCACCGAAGCCUCA